ensembl:lncRNA
GGGUGGGGUAGGCGGGGAGAGCUGCCACUGGAUCUGCUUAAUCUGGAACCAGGGUCAAAGCAGUGACUGUCGGAAGCCACCAGGCCAAGAUGUCUUUCUAUCAUGGCUGGUGUCUUAUCACCAUACCCAGAGAGGGCUUCCCUUGGAGCUCUAGAAAGACGAUGACAGCAAAAAGAAACUGUUCUGUUGAUGGCUCUGGAGAGGCCCCCUGGAACUCUAGUUCUCAGCAGCCAACUCUGGUGAUGGAGGAUGGGAUUUAAAUGGUGGACACCUAAAGGAGAAGAAAGCACAAAAGAAUGUCCAAUCAAGAAUACGGGGCAGAAAUAAAAUGGGAGAAUAUGACUCAGGUAUUGUUCUCCUAAAUUCUCCCAGGGCCUUUGCAUAUACUGUUUCCAACGUGUGGAACCUGGAAGGAGACAUUUAGGUUGCAUCCUCAUCUGCCUAUUGUGAACAGUGCUGCAGUGAACAUGGAGUGCUAAUCUCUCUUUGAGAUCCUGAUUUCAGUACUUUUGGAUAACUGUGCAGAAGUGGGGUUGCUGGAUCAUACAGUAAUACAACUCAAUAGCAAAAAAACCACCCUAAUUACCCAAUUUAAAAAUGGGCUAAAGACUUGAAUAGACACUUCUUUGAAGAAGACAUACAGAUGGGCAACAGGCAGGUUCUUUACCAGUAGCACCACAUGGGAAUCCCUAGCAAAAGAAAGGUGACUGCUAGUUCCAACAAGGAUGAGUUCACACAUGAGGUCAGAUGUGUUUCUUUAAGAAGAGGGCAGUUGGACUUCCCUGGUGGUACAGUGAAUAAGAAUCCACUGGGGACAUGGGCUCGAUUCCUAGUCUGAGAAGAUUCCACAUGCCAUGGGCAACUAAAGCUUUUGUACCACAACUACUGAGCUCUAGGGCCAGAGAGCCACAGCUAAUGAGCCUCUGUGCUGAAGCCCUCGAAUCCUAGAGCCUGCCUGCUGCUAAUACUGAAGCCGGUGUGCCUAGAGCCUGUGCUCCGCAAGGAAGAGCAGCCCCUGCUCGCUGCAGCUAGUGAAAGCCCUUGCACAGAAAUGAAGAUCCUGUGCAACGAAAAAUAAAUAAUAAUGAAAAAAAGGAAAAAACCAGUUAUUUCAAAUUUGCUGGCCUCUUGCUUGUGACUGUCUGUGUGUGUGAGCUCACACGGAAGCACACACACAUCCCCACACCCACUCCCCCCUGCACACACAUAUAUAUACACACACACACACACACAAUGUAUCCCUUCAGGUAAAGGUGAUGUUUUGGGAGUUAAUAUGACUGUGCUUUAAAAUAAUCAUGUUAUGGGGAAAGCAUUUUGAAAAUUGAUGUUUGGAACUGUUUCUAUUAUUAUGUGAUUUUAAUGCCAAAAUGAAGUGUCUCAUUGCCAACUAUAGAGACUGGCAUAGCCACAGCCUCCAAAAUUAAGAAGUACACUUUUAAAACCCAUUUUGCAUUCUUCCAAAUGAAGAGUUUCUGGAGUUUAAAAAAUCCCAUUGUUAAAAAUAUCCCCAGAAACAACUGAUGAAAAUGAAACGGCUUCUAAAACAUCAACCAGCUUAUACUGGUUUUUGCCUCCCCAACCAGCUUAAACUGGUUCUGCUUCCUUCAAAUAAGUUCAUUAAUCAAACCUUGACUUAUUUUACAGAGACAACAGUGCAAGAUGGGAAACCAUCUCUCCAGGAUGACCCCCAACCAAGAAUCUUCAGUCUACAGAACUCAAAGAAUCAAAAGGUUGCCACUGGAACCCUUAACAAAGCAAAGAACUAAGUCAUUCAAUAAGGAAAACCUGGCUUCCAGUAGCAUGACUAGCUUAUAUGUUCUGAUUCAAGACUAGCCAAUCAGCUUCCAAGUUUGAAAUUCCCCUAACCCCUUAAAUUUUAUUUAAACCAACCCUGGAUCAUGGAGACAGAUUUGAGAGCUUUGUCUCCUGUCUCUCUGCUGGUUAACCUCACAAUAAAGAUUUUUUUCCCCCUCAAAA